CGGGUGAGUAACACGUGGGUGACCUUCCCCAAAGACGGGGAUAACUCUUGGAAACAGGGGCUAAUACCCGAUGUGCUCAGCAGUUCACUCUGUUGAGUAAAGCUAUGGCGCUUUGGGAUGGGCCCGCGGCCCAUCAGCUAGUUGGUAGGGUAAAGGCCUACCAAGGCUAAGACGGGUAGGGGGCGUGAGAGCGCGAUCCCCCACACUGGCACUGAGACACGGGCCAGACUCCUACGGGAGGCAGCAGUGAGGAAUAUUGCGCAAUAGACGAAAGUCUGACGCAGCGACGCCGCGUGGGCGAUGAAGGCCUUCGGGUCGUAAAGCCCUUUUCUGGGGGAAGAGAAAGGACGGUACCCCAGGAAUAAGCCCCGGCUAACUACGUGCCAGCAGCCGCGGUAAAACGUAGGGGGCAAGCGUUAUCCGGAUUUACUGGGCGUAAAGAGCGUUGAGGCGGUUUUGUAAGUUGGGCGUGAAAGCCCUGGGCUUAACUCAGGGAAGCCGUUCAAUACUGCGAAACUUGAGGGCAGCAGAGGGAGGUGGAAUUCCCGGAGUAGCGGUGAAAUGCGUAGAUAUCGGGAGGAACACCAGUGGCGAAGGCGGCCUCCUGGGCUGCUCCUGACGCUGAAGGCGAAAGCUAGGGGAGCGAACGGGAUUAGAAACCCCGGUAGUCCUAGCCGUAAACGAUGGAUGCUAGGUGUGGGGGGUGUAGAUUCCCUCCGUGCUGCAGUUAACGCGUUAAGCAUCCCGCCUGGGGAGUACGGCCGCAAGGCUAAAACUCAAACGAAUUGACGGGGGCCCGCACAAGCAGCGGAGCGUGUGGUUUAAUUCGAUGCUACACGAAGAACCUUACCUGGGCUUGACAUACAGGUAGUAGUGAAGUGAAAGCGGAUCGAUCCUUCGGGGAGCCUGUACAGGUGCUGCAUGGCUGUCGUCAGCUCGUGUC
rnacentral:rRNA from 1 species